rnacentral:rRNA from 1 species
UUAAGCGACUAAGCGUACACGGUGGAUGCCCUGGCAGUCAGAGGCGAUGAAGGACGUGCUAAUCUGCGAAAAGCGUCGGUAAGGUGAUAUGAACCGUUAUAACCGGCGAUGUCCGAAUGGGGAAACCCAGUGCAAUUCGUUGCACUAUCGUUAACUGAAUACAUAGGUUAACGAGGCGAACCGGGGGAACUGAAACAUCUAAGUACCCCGAGGAAAAGAAAUCAACCGAGAUUCCCCCAGUAGCGGCGAGCGAACGGGGAGCAGCCCAGAGUCUGAAUCAGCUUGUGUGUUAGUGGAACGGUCUGGAAAGUCCGACGGUACAGGGUGAUAGUCCCGUACACCAAAAUGCACAGGUUGUGAACUCGAAGAGUAGGGCGGGACACGUGGUAUCCUGUCUGAAUAUGGGGGGACCAUCCUCCAAGGCUAAAUACUCCUGACUGACCGAUAGUGAACCAGUACCGUGAGGGAAAGGCGAAAAGAACCCCGGCGAGGGGAGUGAAAAAGAACCUGAAACCGUGUACGUACAAGCAGUGGGAGCACCUUCGGGUGUGACUGCGUACCUUUUGUAUAAUGGGUCAGCGACUUAUAUUCUGUAGCAAGGUUAACCGUAUAGGGGAGCCGCAGGGAAACCGAGUCUUAACUGGGCGUUAAGUUGCAGGGUAUAGACCCGAAACCCGGUGAUCUAGCCAUGGGCAGGUUGAAGGUUGGGUAACACUAACUGGAGGACCGAACCGACUAAUGUUGAAAAAUUAGCGGAUGACUUGUGGCUGGGGGUGAAAGGCCAAUCAAACCGGGAGAUAGCUGGUUCUCCCCGAAAGCUAUUUAGGUAGCGCCUCGUGAAUUCAUCUUCGGGGGUAGAGCACUGUUUCGGCUAGGGGGUCAUCCCGACUUACCAACCCGAUGCAAACUACGAAUACCGAAGAAUGUUAUCACGGGAGACACACGGCGGGUGCUAACGUCCGUCGUGAAGAGGGAAACAACCCAGACCGCCAGCUAAGGUCCCAAAGUCAUGGUUAAGUGGGAAACGAUGUGGGAAGGCACAGACAGCCAGGAUGUUGGCUUAGAAGCAGCCAUCAUUUAAAGAAAGCGUAAUAGCUCACUGGUCGAGUCGGCCUGCGCGGAAGAUGUAACGGGGCUAAACCAUGCACCGAAGCUGCGGCAGCGACACUAUGUGUUGUUGGGUAGGGGAGCGUUCUGUAAGCCUGCGAAGGUGUGCUGUGAGGCAUGCUGGAGGUAUCAGAAGUGCGAAUGCUGACAUAAGUAACGAUAAAGCGGGUGAAAAGCCCGCUCGCCGGAAGACCAAGGGUUCCUGUCCAACGUUAAUCGGGGCAGGGUGAGUCGACCCCUAAGGCGAGGCCGAAAGGCGUAGUCGAUGGGAAACAGGUUAAUAUUCCUGUACUUGGUGUUACUGCGAAGGGGGGACGGAGAAGGCUAUGUUAGCCGGGCGACGGUUGUCCCGGUUUAAGCAUGUAGGCUGGUUGUCCAGGCAAAUCCGGAUAAUCAAGGCUGAGGUGUGAUGACGAGGCACUACGGUGCUGAAGUAACAAAUGCCCUGCUUCCAGGAAAAGCCUCUAAGCAUCAGGUAACAUCAAAUCGUACCCCAAACCGACACAGGUGGUCAGGUAGAGAAUACCAAGGCGCUUGAGAGAACUCGGGUGAAGGAACUAGGCAAAAUGGUGCCGUAACUUCGGGAGAAGGCACGCUGGUGUGUAGGUGAAGUCCCUGCGGAUGGAGCUGAGACCAGUCGAAGAUACCAGCUGGCUGCAACUGUUUAUUAAAAACACAGCACUGUGCAAACACGAAAGUGGACGUAUACGGUGUGACGCCUGCCCGGUGCCGGAAGGUUAAUUGAUGGGGUUAUCCGUAAGGAGAAGCUCUUGAUCGAAGCCCCGGUAAACGGCGGCCGUAACUAUAACGGUCCUAAGGUAGCGAAAUUCCUUGUCGGGUAAGUUCCGACCUGCACGAAUGG